AUUGAACGCUGGCGGCAUGCCUUACACAUGCAAGUCGAACGGCAGCGGACCUUCGGGUGCCGGCGAGUGGCGAACGGGUGAGUAAUGUAUCGGAACGUACCUUUCAGUGGGGGAUAACGUAGCGAAAGUUACGCUAAUACCGCAUAUUCUGUGAGCAGGAAAGCAGGGGAUCGCAAGACCUUGCGCUGAUUGAGCGGCCGAUAUCAGAUUAGCUAGUUGGUGAGGUAAAGGCUCACCAAGGCGACGAUCUGUAGCGGGUCUGAGAGGAUGAUCCGCCACACUGGAACUGGGCAACGGUCCAGACUCCUACGGGAGGCAGCAGUGGGGAAUUUUGGACAAUGGGGGCAACCCUGAUCCAUCCAUGCCGCGUGAGUGAAGAAGGCCUUCGGGUUGUAAAGCUCUUUCGUCCGGGAAGAAAUCGCAUCAGCUAAUACCUGGUGUGGAUGACGGUACCGGAAUAAGAAGCACCGGCUAACUACGUGCCAGCAGCCGCCGCAGUAA
rnacentral:rRNA from 1 species